rnacentral:snRNA from 1 species
AACUUUGCGCAGUGGCGAUACCGUAGCCAGUGAAGUUUAUCUGAGGCGCGGUUAUUGCUAGUUGAAAACUACUCCAAAACUGAAACUGAAUAUAUAUUUAUA